UACGUAGGUGGCAAGCGUUGUCCGGAUUCACUGGGCGUAAAGCGCGCGCAGGCGGUCUUCUACGUCUGGGGUGAAAACCCGGGGCUCAACCCCGGAUCUGCCGUGCCGACUGUCAAACUCGAGGACUGUAGAGGCAGACGGAAUUCCCGGUGUAGCGGUGAAAUGUGUAGAGAUCGGGAGGAACACCGGUGGCGAAGGCGGGUCUCUGGGCAAUUCCUGACGCUGAGGCGCGAAAGCGUGGGGAGCAAACGGG
rnacentral:rRNA from 1 species